rnacentral:rRNA from 1 species
UAAGGAAUAUUGGGCAAUGGACGCAAGUCUGACCCAGCCAUGCCGCGUGGAGGAUGAAGGUCCUCUGGAUUGUAAACUUCUUUUCUCUGGGGCGAAAAACAGGUAUUCUUACUUGCUUGACAGUACCAGAGGAAUAAGCACCGGCUAACUCCGUGCCAGCAGCCGCGGUAAUACGGAGGGUGCAAGCGUUAUCCGGAUUCACUGGGUUUAAAGGGUGCGUAGGUGGGCAGGUAAGUCAGCGGUGAAAUCCCCGAGCUUAACUUGGGAACUGCCAUUGAUACUAUCUGUCUUGAAUACCUUGGAGGUGAGCGGAAUAUGUCAUGUAGCGGUGAAAUGCUUAGAUAUGACAUAGAACACCAAUUGCGAAGGCAGCUCACUACACGGUCAUUGACACUGAGGCACGAAAGCGUGGGGAUCAAACAGGAUUAGAUACCCCUGUAGUCC